rnacentral:other from 1 species
CGGUGGCUGCGGUUCAUGUCAGGCUUACGUUAUCCCUGGGGCCAAUAUCCACCUAUCGGGAACUGCCUCUACCGGGCUCCUGGGCUCGGCAUGUGGUGCCCACCUGCAACUGCAGGCCACGGAGGAUCUCCGGCCAACGGUUUCGCGGCGCCGUU